GAUGAAGAACGUAGCGAAAUGCGAUAAGUAAUGCGAAUUGCAGAAUUCAGUGAAUCAUCGAAUCUUUGAACGCACAUUGCGCCCGCCAGUAUUCUGGCGGGCAUGCCUGUCUGAGCGUCAUUUCAACCCUCAUGCCCCUAGGGCGUGGUGUUGGGGAUCGGCCAAAGCCCGCGAGGGACGGCCGGCCCCUAAAUCUAGUGGCGGACCCGUCGUGGCCUCCUCUGCGAAGUAGUGAUAUUCCGCAUCGGAGAGCGAUGAGCCCCUGCCGUUAAACCCCCAACUUUCCAAGGUUGACCUCAGAUCAGGUAGGAAUACCCGCUGAACUUAAGCAUAUCAAUAAGCGGAGGA
rnacentral:misc_RNA from 1 species